AGUGAACGCUGGCGGUAGGCCUAACACAUGCAAGUCGAACGGCAGCACAGGAGAGCUUGCUCUCUGGGUGGCGAGUGGCGGACGUGUGAGGAAUACAUCGGAAUCUACUUUUUCGUGGGGGAUAACGUAGGGAAACUUACGCUAAUACCGCAUACGACCUACGGGUGAAAGCAGGGGAUCUUCGGACCUUGCGCGAUUGAAUGAGCCGAUGUCGGAUUAGCUAGUUGGCGGGGUAAAGGCCCACCAAGGCGACGAUCCGUAGCUGGUCUGAGAGGAUGAUCAGCCACACUGGAACAGAGACACGGUCCAGACUCCUACGGGAGGAAGCAGUGGGGAAUAUUGGACAAUGGGCGCAAGCCUGAUCCAGCCAUACCGCGUGGGUGAAGAAGGCCUUCGGGUUGUAAAGCCCUUUUGUUGGGAAAGAAAUCCAGCUGGUUAAUACCCGGUUGGGAUGACGGUACCCAAAGAAUAAGCACCGGCUAACUUCGUGCCAGCCGCCGCAGUAA
rnacentral:rRNA from 1 species